rnacentral:rRNA from 1 species
AUUGAACGCUGGCGGAAUGCUUUACACAUGCAAGUCGAACGGUAGAGGGGGCAACCCCUCGAGAGUGGCGAACGGGUGAGUAAUAUAUCGGAACGUGCCCAGUCGUGGGGGAUAACGUAGCGAAAGUUACGCUAAUACCGCAUACGAUCUAAGGAUGAAAGCGGGGGAUCGCAAGACCUCGCGCGAUUGGAGCGGCCGAUAUCAGAUUAGGUAGUUGGGGGGGUAAAGGCUCACCAAGCCAACGAUCUGUAGCUGGUCUGAGAGGACGACCAGCCACACUGGAACUGAGACACAGUCCAGACUCCUACGGGAGGCAGCAGUGGGGAAUUUUGGACAAUGGACGCAAGUCUGAUCCAGCCAUUCCGCGUGCAGGAUGAGGGCCCUCGGGUUGUAAACUGCUUUUGUACGGAACGAAAAGGUCUCUCUUAAUACGGGGGGCUCAUGGCGGUACCGUAAGAAUAAGCACCGGCUAACUACGUGCCAGCCGCCGCGGUAA